rnacentral:rRNA from 1 species
UACGUAGGGGGCAAGCGUUGUCCGGAAUCAUUGGGCGUAAAGCGCGUGUAGGCGGCUCGAUAAGUCUGCUGUGAAAGUCCAGGGCUCAACCCUGGGAUGCCGGUGGAUACUGUCGGGCUCGAGUCCGGAAGAGGCGAGUGGAAUUCCUGGUGUAGCGGUGAAAUGCGCAGAUAUCAGGAGGAACACCGGUGGUGUAGACGGCUCACUGGACCAUAACUGACGCUGAGACACGAAAGCGUGGGUAGCAAACAGG